GAGGAGAUCAUUAUCGAAUU
rnacentral:rRNA from 1 species